AGGUUGGGGGGGGGGAACGAGCGGCGCAUCCCUGAGGGGGCCCAGGUCAGCUGGGUAGCCGUCGAGCACCACGAGGCACGCCAGGACCUGUGACCGUGGUGCCCUCUGGGGGGCGUGGAAGCGCUAGGCCGCGCGGGGUCACAGCGCCUCACCCCCCCGCCCCCGGGCCUCUCCGACCCCGCGUGCGGCCGCCCGCCAUAGUGCUGCAAGCCAGGCCCCGCGUCUCAAUGAGGCAAGAGCGUAACAAAACGCGCGGCGCUUAACUGCAGACUACAUCGAAGGUCAUUUUGAUCUUAGGAUAUUAAUGCCAUUCACUGACUCUGUUUGUCUGACUCUGAGAAAUAUAUGGAAGUGUUAUCUGAAUUGAUAUUCAGUAGUAAAGGAAUAAUUCACACCUUCGCUGGCAGAAAGUUUUUCAGCAUUUUAGGACUACUUCUUUUGAAAGGUACAACUCUCCUGACUUUUCUGGCCCUCUCCUAUGCCAUGAUUAUUUCCACCUCUAAGCCUUUGGACUGAUUUCUUCCACCUGGAACUCUUCCAUAGCUCCACAAGUUUGAAGGAGCUCAGGUGAACCUACUCCAAAAGACCUCAGAGAUGACAUCUGUCAAGUAAAGAGGACACAGAGAGCCAUCUGCGACCUGGAAGAGGGUUCCUAUCAGAGCCGAACCAUUUUGGCACCCUGAUGUUGCACUUCCAGCCUCCAGAACUAUGCAGUAAAGUCAAAUGCCGUAAGAAAGAGAUUAAACCCAGCAGCCCACUCAUUUGAGUAAGACUGUCCUUCCUAUUACUGCCUCAGAAGGGAAACUUCUCACUUACUAGGGUUUGUCUCUCUCCCCGCCCAUUCCUUCGCCUGGGUUAAGGAGGACAGCUGUCACUAACACCUGGAAAUCUCCAGAAACCCCCAUCAUGGAAGGAGUGAGUCUUCUCUCUCUCGUCCACCCAUUCUGAUAGUGAAAUUCAAGGAAAUUCUUGCUUCAACAGUGGGAACAUCUUGGCUUCCUGGAGACCUUCCCGGGGUCAGAUGAUGAUGCACAUUAGGUCUUAUCUGGGUGACAAGAUGAGUUGAACUAUUCACGGGACAGCUCUUGGAUGGCUUCGUAAUCGCUUAUGGCUCUCCAUAUUCGAAAAUUAAAAAAAA